AUUCAAAUCACCAAAUCAAAUCACUGUCCCCUGAAUUGGUCGAAUCGAAAUCCAAAGCAAAUUCUAGCUACUUCACACAGGCCUAAUAAACACCUCCUGCAGGCUGCAAAC